rnacentral:rRNA from 1 species
CCUACGGGAGGCAGCAGUAAGGAAUAUUGGUCAAUGGACGCAAGUCUGAACCAGCCAUGCCGCGUGAAGGAUUAAGGCCCUCUGGGUUGUAAACUUCUUUUAUAGGGGACGAAAAAAGGGCAUUCUUGCUCACUUGACGGUACCCUAGGAAUAAGCACCGGCUAACUCCGUGCCAGCAGCCGCGGUAAUACGGAGGGUGCAAGCGUUAUCCGGAUUUACUGGGUUUAAAGGGUUAGCGUAGGUGGGUUGGUAAGUCAGUGGUGAAAUCUUCGAGCUUAACUCGGAAACUGCCAUUGAUACUAUCAAUCUUGAAUCAUCUAGAGGUAAGCGGAAUAUGUCAUGUAGCGGUGAAAUGCUUAGAUAUGACAUAGAACACCAAUUGCGAAGGCAGCUUACUAUGGAUGUAUUGACACUGAGGCACGAAAGCGUGGGGAUCAAACAGGAUUAGAUACCCUGGUAGUCCACGACCCUAAACGAUGGAUACUCGACAUUUGUGAUAUACUAUAAGUGUCUGAGCGAAAGCAUUAAAGUAUCCCACCUGGGAAGUACGACCGCAAGGUUGAAACUCAAAGGAAAUUGAGG